CUAUCAAUACAGAGAGAAGCAAUAAAUUUAUAUGCACAACUGAAAAUUGUUGGUGUUGCAUUAGAUAAGUUGCAAGCAGACGAUACAACUUUGUCUGAAGCAGUUGAGAUUUGGCAAAGCCUCAUACAUAAUGAAAAAUUGGCUUUGUACAAAGAUGAUAUUUUAAAGAGGUUCAAGAAGGCAAUUGUUAAUUGUCAUUUUCUUGCCAAUUUAGCAGAUCCAAAAUAUGAAGGAAGAACAUUGGAUAGAAGUCAAGAAGAAGAAGCUGAGGAAUGGUUGAAUGAAGUCUAUCCUGAAUU
rnacentral:lncRNA from 1 species